rnacentral:lncRNA from 1 species
GUCUGCCACACACUGGGAAAUGCUGGAGUAAACAAAAGGAAAAGGUGGCUUCUGUAAGCUGCAUUCCAUUCCCAACCAGGAGAGGCUCAAACCAUGAGGACAGUUGUUGACACGAGCAAGUAUGUUGGUGGGCAGCUCUGGGUUAAGCUUGGUUGCUCUUCAGUAACAGGCACUAGAUUGGCAUCUCCUGUCUGUAUUCUCAGGGCCCUCCUCUCAUGGUCCCAAGAUGGCGGUCAUGGCUCCAGGAGUCAUAUCCUGGCACACGACUUCACGCACAAGCAGAAAGCAAGGAAAUGUCAAAAAAGAAAGCACAUUCUCCCUGUGUUUCUUUUUAUUUUCAGAGUCACCAAACGAAGUUUCAUUGAUCAGAAGAACUGAGUCACAUGUGCAUACCUGGCAAAAAGAUCACAGACUCCGUCUAUUGACUUCAGCUCACUUGAGGCCCUCUUCCACUUCUUCCUUCUUCCAGUCAACAAAGGUCUAUCAUAUCCAGCCUUUAUCCUCACCAACAGACAAGGUCUGGCAAGGGUCUGGCACUUGGAGCUACAAGGAACUACCAGAGUUUUCAGAGUGACAAGACCAGAACCCAGACUGAGUUUUCAGCAGCUCAAUUGAACCUCUCAGGAUCAUAAAUUUGGAGAAGAUCAUGAAAGGGAUCACAUCCAUCCUUCUCAUCCCAGGUAAGAGAGCAUCUGAACCACUUCAAAAAGUCCUUAGUCUAAUCCUACCUCUUUCCUUGUUGAUGCCAUUAUAUGCAACCACUACCAUAGGCAGCAGUGAUUAGUGGAUAGAGCUCAUAUAAGAAAGUAGAAACUUGAGUGAAAAGUCGUGAAGUGACUCCAUAAUGAACAAGCAAAUAACUCAAGUAGCAGAGAAAAAUCCCAAACAGAAUCAGGCUGUCCCAGAAAAGCCAUUUAAGUGAUGAUGGGCAAGUCUCAAAUCAUCCUUUCUUCUGGAAUUCCACGU